ACAAAGUUUGUUUUAUCACCUGUUUUUGUAUAGGUCCUGAGACCAUUCCUGGAGGUGACAGAGGAAAUGUCUGCUGAAAGCCACGUCACAUCCACAUUAAUUGUCUUGGUGCACAACUUGCAGAAGCUGACUGGAAGUAUGGCAAACACUUAUGCUCCAGAGUCUGUUGGUCAGAGGCUAGCUAGCUCUUUAAACAAGCACCUGACCAAAAGAUGUGGCGACUAUGAAUCAACUAGAUUUCUUGCAGUGUCAAUGUUGCUGGAUCCUCGAUUUAAAAAAGUAGCAUUCGGCAUGGAUACAAACACAGACAGCGCUGUUCAAGCGUUGACAUCCGAGGCCGGCCAGCUUAAUGCAGAAUAUCAACCGGAGGCAACGACUUCUGUUUCACUGCGCAUACAACAAACUGGGGCUAGCUGUGUGUGGUCUGAUUUUGAUUUGAAGGUAAAACAGCAAAUAAACACCAGCGUGGAUACCUUCACUGAAGUGAAAUUGUACCUCUCACAGCCAAAUGUUGUGAGAGGAACAACUCCCUUCAACAAAGCAUUUUUUGUGUGAUUUGUCUUGUAAUGAGUCAAAAGACAAGAUGACACAAAUGAUCAAAGUGUAUUUGUUAAAGAAGCAAUAAAUAAUUACACAGUUAAAUACAGCUGAAACCACAUUACAAAAUGACACAAAAUAGCAGAAAUAUCAAACUACUCAUUUUCUAAUUGGCACUCAUGGGUAACCAAUCAAACCUUAUUCCAGGAACAGGAACUGGCUCCAGAAAUAACUUCUUCAGUACUCCAAAUGUGUACCUGAGUUCAGGAGGGUUGCUCAAGUUCAGUCCAUAUAUCAGUCCCAGCAACAUGGUUUUGCAUACUGUAAAACUGCUAAGGUCCUGAAG